CCUACGUGUGGCUGCAGUGGGGAAUAUUGGACAAUGGGCGAAAGCCUGAUCCAGCCAUGCCGCGUGUGUGAAGAAGGCCUUCGGGUUGUAAAGCACUUUCAGUGGGGAAGAAAGCCUUGGGGCUAAUACCCUCGAGGAAGGACAUCACCCACAGAAGAAGCACCGGCUAACUCCGUGCCAGCAGCCGCGGUAAUACGGAGGGUGCGAGCGUUAAUCGGAAUUACUGGGCGUGAAGCGCGCGUAGGCGGUCUGAUAAGCCGGUUGUGAAAGCCCCGGGCUCAACCUGGGAACGGCAUCCGGAACUGUCAGGCUAGAGUGCAGGAGAGGAAGGUAGAAUUCCCGGUGUAGCGGUGAAAUGCGUAGAGAUCGGGAGGAAUACCAGUGGCGAAGGCGGCCUUCUGGACUGACACUGACGCUGAGGUGCGAAAGCGUGGGUAGCAAACAGGAUUAGAUACCCUGGUAGUC
rnacentral:rRNA from 1 species